CUAUUUUUAGGUUAUAAUGGAAAAUUGGAAUAAGAAACUUUGUACAGCUUCUAGGAAGGGAGAUAUAGAAGAUGUGAAAAUAUGCCUAGAGAAUAAAGCAGACAUUGAUUAUCAAGAUGGUUAUGGAGGGACAGCAUUAAUGGAGGCUGCCAGGGAAGGACACCUGGAGGUCUGUCGUCUUCUCAUUGAUAGAGGAUGUAAGAUCGAC